AGAACGAACGCUGGCGGCAUGCCUAACACAUGCAAGUCGAACGAGAGGCUUCGGCCUCUAGUGGCGCACGGGUGCGUAACGCGUGGGAAUCUGCCCUUAGGUUCGGAAUAACAGUUAGAAAUGACUGCUAAUACCGGAUAAUGACGUAAGUCCAAAGAUUUAUCGCCUAGGGAUGAGCCCGCGUAGGAUUAGCUGGUUGGUGGGGUAAAAGCCUACCAAGGCGACGAUCCUUAGCUGGUCUGAGAGGAUGAUCAGCCACACUGGGACUGAGACACGGCCCAGACUCCUACGGGAGGCAGCAGUGGGGAAUAUUGGACAAUGGGCGAAAGCCUGAUCCAGCAAUGCCGCGUGAGUGAUGAAGGCCUUAGGUUGUAAAGCUCUUUUACCGGGAUGAUAAUGACAGUACCGGAGAAUAAGCUCCGGCUAACUCCGUGCCAGCAGCCGC
rnacentral:rRNA from 1 species